rnacentral:rRNA from 1 species
UACGUAGGGUGCAAGCGUUAAUCGGAAUUACUGGGCGUAAAGCGUGCGCAGGCGGUUUUGUAAGUCUGACGUGAAAUCCCCGGGCUUAACCUGGGAAUGGCGUUGGAGACUGCAAGGCUGGAAUCUGGCAGAGGGGGCUAGAAUUCCACGUGUAGCAGUGAAAUGCGUAGAGAUGUGGAGGAACACCGAUGGCGAAGGCAGCCCCCUGGGCUAAGAUUGACGCUCAUGCACGAAAGCGUGGGGAGCAAACAGG